rnacentral:rRNA from 1 species
AUUGAACGCUGGCGGCAGGCUUAACACAUGCAAGUCGAGCGGUAGCACAGGGGAGCUUGCUCCCUGGGUGACGAGCGGCGGACGGGUGAGUCAUGUCUGGGAAACUGUCUGAUGGAGGGGGAUAACUACUGGAAACGGUAGCUAAUACCGCAUAACGUCGCAAGCCCAAAGAGGGGGACCUUCGGGCCUCUUGCCAUCAGAUGUGCCCAGCUGGGCUUAGCUAGUAGGUGGGGUAAUGGCUCACCUAGUCGACGAUCCCUAGCUGGUCUGAGAGGAUGACCGGCCGCACUAGAGCUGAGACACGGUCCAGACUCCUACGGGAGGCAGCAGUGGGGAAUGUUGCGCAGUGGGCGCAAGCCUGAUGCAGCGAUGCCACGUGUGUGAAGGAGGCCUUCGGGUUGUAAAGCACUUUCAGCGGGGAGAAAGGUGGUGAACUUAAUACGUUCAUCAAUUGACGUUACUCGCAGAAGAAGCACCGGCUAACUACGUG